rnacentral:rRNA from 1 species
GACGAACGCUGGCGGCGUGCUUAACACAUGCAAGUCGAGCGGUGCGGCGAACGGGUGAGUAACGCGUGAGUAAUUGCCCCCCUCUCUGGGAUAACAGUUGGAAACUGCUGCUAAUACCGGAUAGUGGGGGAUGACUCGCGUCCUAUCAGCUUGUUGGUGGGGUAGUGGCCUACCACGGCGACGACGGGUAGCCGGCCUGAGCGGGGGACCAGCCACAAGGGGCUGAGGUACGGAGCAGACGGCUACGGGGGGCAGCAGGGGGGAAUAUUGCGCAACGGGGGAGAGCGUGAGGCAGCGACGCCGCGUGCGGAAUGACGGCCUUCGGGUGGGAAACCGCUUUCAGCCAUGACGCGGUAGUGGCAGAAGAAGCACCGGCUAACUACGUGCCAGCAGCCGCGGUAAUUC